rnacentral:tmRNA from 1 species
GCACGAAAACCGAAGGCAGAGAUAAGCAUGUAGAAAGCAUAUGGCUUCCUUGUUUGGACGAGGGUUCGAUUCCCUCCAGGUCCACCC